GCGGUGGUAGCUCAGCUGGUAGAGCACGAGCUUCCCAAGCUCGGGGUCGCCGGUUCGAACCCGGUCCGCCGCU
rfam:Archangium gephyra strain DSM 2261, complete genome.